CGGAAAGACUCCUGGAUCCCUGAUCAAUCUAGCAUGAUAAGAAUUGCCCUGUCAACAAAAUUCACUGGGAAAGAAAUAUCAAAGAGGAUUUUGCCACCAGGUUACUAAAGGUCCGAAGACAGCUGUUUCCAGCCAUUCUUCACAAGUGAAGUGCGGGCACUGGGAGAGGAAGAGUUUGCGCUCAUGAAGCUGAAAGGAAGCAAGAACUUGAUUGAGGUUGCUUGAUCCUUCAACCACCGAUUCAGAGUAGCUUUUUGGCAUCUUCAGCUUUUUCUUCGGAGACAGCUUUUCUCGAUUGAAGAGGUUUCUUC